CGGAGGGAGUGGCAGACGGGUGAGUAACACGUGGGAACGUACCCUUCGGUUCGGAAUAACUCAGGGAAACUUGUGCUAAUACCGAAUACGUCCGAGAGGAGAAAGAUUUAUCGCCGAAGGAUCGGCCCGCGUCUGAUUAGCUAGUUGGUAAGGUAAUGGCUUACCAAGGCAACGAUCAAUAGCUGUUCUGAGAGGAUGAUCAGCCACACUGGGACUGAGAUACGGCCCAGACUCC
rnacentral:rRNA from 1 species